rnacentral:rRNA from 1 species
UACGAACCGUACAAACGUUAUUCGGAAUUACUGGGCUUAAAGGGUGCGUAGGCGGCCAAGUAAGUGAGGUGUGAAAUCCCUCGGCUCAACCGAGGAACUGCGCUUCAUACUGCUUGGCGUUGAGGGGGACGAGGGGUAAGCGGAACUGAUGGUGGAGCGGUGAAAUGCGUUGAUAUCAUCAGGAACACCGGUGGCGAAAGCGGCUUACUGGGUCUCUUCUGACGCUGAGGUACGAAAGCUAGGGGAGCGAACGGG